rnacentral:lncRNA from 1 species
UAAUUGCCUAUAUAUCCCUCAAAACUUCGAAAAUAUUUUAUUUAUUCCUACUUUUUUUUUCUUUCCAAUAUACCGCUCAUAUGUUCCUCCGUUAUUCCAAAAUACUCUUACAGUUACCAUCCGUUAAGUUAACUUGGGUCAAAUAUCUAACAUAGUUAAAAAAAAUUAAAAUAUUAAUUUUGCUCUUAACUUAAGGGCAAAUAAAAAUAUUGGUGACGGUAGAGGGGUAUAUUUAAAAAGACCAAAAGUCAAAAUACUUUUUGUGCCCCUGACUUAAGGGCAAAUAAGAAAAGUUGAUGAUGGUGGAAGGGUACAUUUAAAAUGACAAAAUAAUAAUUUUAUACAGAUAAUAUAGUUUAUUAACAGAUUUUAACUCUAGGGGUAUAUUUGAAAUAUGUUGGAACGUGAAAAAAAUAUUUUUAAUAUUAAUCUCUUAAGAGGGAUAAAUUAAAAAGUCAGAAACUUUUUAAAGGUAUAUAAGCAAUUGCCCCAACAAAAUGAUAAAUAGAGUAACCUGGCCAAAACCGAGGCCUAAAUUUCAUACUUUUUUUUUUACAAUAUAUUUUUUUUAAUGCAUCAAGUGACCGUCAAAAUGAAUGGAUAAAAAUGAAUACAGAGU